GGUGCGAUGCUUAAACAGGCAGCCGAGGGGCCAGCCUUUCUCCUGACUGCCUAACAACAGCAUUUGGCAGGGAUGAUUGACGGGUUGUAACAACCAAUUGUUAAUCAUCAGAAAAAUUCAGUUAAAGCACAAAUGAAGAAUUAACUAAAGCGACGACACAUAAGCAGUCCCAUAGUCUUACACCUCCUAUUUUAAAUACUGAUAGACAACAUAUUUAUGACUUUUUUUGUUUUCCAAGCUGAAAAUUAAGUAUAAAAACUACACAAGACCAAGUUUCUGGAACAGGCUCCUCCCUGUAGGCCAGGAAGAAGAACAGGAGGGUUUAACUUUAGUCAGGGAAGGCUGGUGGCUGAUGAAUCCCAAAUAUGACUGGCCACCCUCACCAUUGUUAGAAUGGAAAGUCUUCACAAAAAUACCCCCAAAAUGAAAUAUUUCCAAUAGACAGGUAGUUAAUUUUCACUCUGAUAGCUACUGAUUACCAGCAUGUUUUACCCAAAAAUAUAUCAAGCUAGCCAACCUGACAUUUCUGGCAUUUCCAUGCACAGUACAAAAAGGUCCUGUCACGUGUGAUGUUUGUCUUUUUAAGAUGAACUGUUAAACCAACAGUUAAACAGUAAAAGGCAGACAUGUAUAUGGUGGAUAGCAUGGUAUAUCACAGGCACGUUUUUUCUUCAAACAUUAACAAGUUCUGGUUAUUGUAAAUUUGACCUUUAUACAUGCCU